rnacentral:rRNA from 1 species
UUGAACGCUGGCGGAAUGCUUUACCCAUGCAGGUCGAACGGCAGCACGGGGGCAGCCCUGGUGGCGAGUGGCGAACGGGUGAGUAAUACAUCGGAACGUGCCCGGGCGUGGGGGAUAACGUAGCGAAAGUUACGCUAAUACCGCAUACGAUCUGAGGGUGAAAGCGGGGGACCUUCGGGCCUCGCGCGAUCGGAGCGGCCGAUGUCAGAUUAGGUAGUUGGGGGGGUAAAGGCCUACCAAGCCGACGAUCUGUAGCUGGUCUGAGAGGACGACCAGCCACACUGGGACUGAGACACGGCCCAGACUCCUACGGGAGGCAGCAGUGGGGAAUUUUGGACAAUGGGCGCAAGCCUGAUCCAGCCAUGCCGCGUGCAGGACGAAGGCCUUCGGGUUGUAAACUGCUUUUGUACGGAACGAAAAGGCUCUGGCUAAUACCUGGGGCUCAUGACGGUACCGUAAGAAUAAGCACCGGCUAACUACGUG